rnacentral:rRNA from 1 species
CCUACGGGAGGCAGCAGUCGAGAAUCAUUCACAAUGGGGGAAACCCUGAUGGUGCGACGCCGCGUGGGGGAAUGUAGGUCUUCGGAUUGUAAACCCCUGUCAUGUGGGAGCAAAUUAAAAAGAUAUUACCACACGAGGAAGAGACGGCUAACUCUGUGCCAACACCCGUGGUAACACAGAGGUCUCAAGCGUUGUUGGGAAUCACUGGGCGUAAAGCGUGCGUAGGCUGUUUCGAAAGUCGUGUGUGAAAGGCGCGGGCUCAACCCGCGGACGGCACAUGAUACUGCGAGACUAGAGUGAUGGAGGGGGAACGGGAAUGCGUGGUGUAGCAGUGAAAUGCGUAGAUAUC